UGGGGGAUAUUGCACAAUGGAGGAAACUCUGAUGCAGCAACGCCGCGUGAGGGAAGAAGGUUUUCGGAUUGUAAACCUCUGUUUUUAGUGAAGAAACAAAUGACGGUAGCUAAAGAGGAAGCCACGGCUAACUACGUGCCAGCAGCCGCGGUAAUACGUAGGUGGCAAGCGUUGUCCGGAAUUACUGGGUGUAAAGGGUGCGCAGGCGGGAUUGCAAGUUGGAUGUGAAAUACCGGGGCUUAACCCCGGAGCUGCAUCCAAAACUGUAGUUCUUGAGUGGAGUAGAGGUAAGCGGAAUUCCGAGUGUAGCGGUGAAAUGCGUAGAUAUUCGGAGGAACACCAGUGGCGAAGGCGGCUUACUGGGCUCUAACUGACGCUGAGGCACGAAAGCAUGGGUAGCAAACAGG
rnacentral:rRNA from 1 species